rnacentral:rRNA from 1 species
AGUGAACGCUGGCGGUAGGCCUAACACAUGCAAGUCGAACGGCAGCACAGGAGAGCUUGCUCUCUGGGUGGCGAGUGGCGGACGGGUGAGGAAUACAUCGGAAUCUACUUUUUCGUGGGGGAUAACGUAGGGAAACUUACGCUAAUACCGCAUACGACCUACGGAUGAAAGCAGGGGAUCUUCGGAACUUUCGCGAUUGACUGAGCCUAUGUCGGAUUAGCUAGUUGGCGGGGUAAAGGCCCACCAAGGCGACGAUCCGUAGCUGGUCUGAGAGGAUGAUCAGCCACACUGGAACUGAGACACGGUCCAGACUCCUACGGGAGGCAGCAGUGGGGAAUAUUGGACAAUGGGCGCAAGCCUGAUCCAGCCAUACCGCGUGGGUGAAGAAGGCCUUCGGGUUGUAAAGCCCUUUUGUUGGGAAAGAAAUCCAGCUGGUUAAUACCCGGUUGGGAUGACGGUACCCAAAGAAUAAGCACCGGCUAACUUCGUGCCAGCCGCCGCAGUGA